AAUACCUACUAAAAUACUACCAACAGAAAUAUUGAAAAAAUAUGAAAUAGCUAUAAGAGAAGAAUUUAGUAGCAUAACAACAGAAGAGAAGAGAAAAAUAAUGAGAAAGAUAUGAAUAGGAAUUUAAUGUUAAAAUUAGCAAUAUGUAAUAUGUACUAUAUAAAUGAGUAUACGUGUGCAUUUAAAGAAUAUUAUUAUAUAGGAGCAUAUA
rnacentral:lncRNA from 1 species